rnacentral:rRNA from 1 species
CAGCACCCCGAGUGGUCGGGACGAUUAUUGGGCCUAAAGCAUCCGUAGCCGGUUUUACAAGUCCUCCGUUAAAUCCAACUGCUUAACAGAUGGGCCGCGGAGGAUACUAUAAGACUAGGAGGCAGGAGAGGCAAGCGGUACUCAGUGGGUAGGGGUAAAAUCCGUUGAUCCAUUGAAGACCACCAGUGGCGAAGGCGGCUUGCCAGAAUGCGCUCGACGGUGAGGGAUGAAAGCUGGGGGAGCAAACCGGAUUAGAUACCCGGGUAGUCCCAGCUGUAAACGAUGCAGACUCGGUGAUGGACCAGCUUCAUGCUAGUCCAGUGCCGCAGGGAAGCCGUUAAGUCUGCCGCCUGGGUAGUACGGUCGCAAGACUG